CCCUUAGAUGUUCUGGGCCGCACACGCGCUACACUGAAGGAGGCAGCAUGUACUCCUGGAUCGAAAGAUUUGGGUAACCCGCGAAUCUCCUUCGUGCUAGGGAUUGAGGUUUGCAAUUAUCCUUCAUGAACGAGGAAUUCCCAGUAAGUGCAAGUCAUAAGCUUGCGCUGACUACGUCCCUGCCCUUUGUACACACUGCCCGUCGCUACUACCGAUUGAAUGAUUUAGUGAGGACUUCGGACUGGGACCGAUGCGGCUUUCGGGCUGCGUCGGUAUUCUGGAAAGAUGUCCAAACUGUAUCAUUUAGAGGAAGUAAAAGUCGUAACA
rnacentral:rRNA from 1 species